rnacentral:rRNA from 1 species
UUUGUGCGCCGCGCUGUCGGUGCACCGCAUCCGCGGUAUACUGACACGUCUGCGGACGAUAUCGUCGGUGAGCCGGCGGUAAUACGCCGGUUCAAUAUCAAAAUCCUAUCGCGGUGCUCUUCGGUGAGUGUCGAGGUGGGCCGACAAUUUACUUUGAACAAAUUAGAGUGCUCAAAGCGGGCUCAAAAUGCUGCUUGAAUAUUUCGUGCAUGGAAUAAUAGAAUAUNAUCUCGGUUCUAUUUUGUUGGUUUUCAGAACUCCGAGGUAAUGAUUAAUAGGGAUAACUGGGGGCAUUCGUAUUGCGACGUUAGAGGUGAAAUUCUUGGAUCGUCGCAAGACGAACAUCAGCGAAAGCAUUUGCCAAAGGUGUUUUCAUCAAUCAAGAACGAAAGUUAGAGGUUCGAAGGCGAUUAGAUACCGCCCUAGUUCUAACCGUAAAUAUGUCAUCUAGCGAUCCGCCGAAGUUACUACAAUGGCUCGGCGNNCAGCUUCCG